AAACUUUCAACAACGGAUCUCUCGGUUCUGGCGUCGAUGAAGAACGCAGCGAAGUGCGAUAAGUAAUGCGAAUUGCAGAGCUCUGUGAGGCAUCGAAUCUUUGAACGCAUAUUGCGCCCUUUGAUAGUUAAUCCCAGAGGGCAUGUCUGUCCGAGCGUCAGUA
rnacentral:rRNA from 1 species